CGGAAGAGAAGACGGCCCCCCUCUCUCGGCCCGGCCAUCUUGUGGGAAGAGCUGAAGCAGGCGCUCUUGGCUCGGCGCGGCCCGCUGCAAUCCGUGGAGGAACGCGCCGCCGAGCCACCAUCAUGCCUGGGCACUUACAGGAAGGCUUCGGCUGCGUGGUCACCAACCGAUUCGACCAGUUAUUUGACGACGAAUCGGACCCCUUCGAGGUGCUGAAGGCAGCGGAGAACAAGAAAAAAGAAGCCGGCGGGGGCGGCGUUGGGGGCCCUGGGGCCAAGAGCGCAGCUCAGGCCGCGGCCCAGACCAACUCCAACGCGGCAGGCAAACAGCUGCGCAAGGAGUCCCAGAAAGACCGCAAGAACCCGCUGCCCCCCAGCGUUGGCGUGGUUGACAAGAAAGAGGAGACGCAGCCGCCCGUGGCGCUUAAGAAAGAAGGAAUAAGACGAGUUGGAAGAAGACCUGAUCAACAACUUCAGGGUGAAGGGAAAAUAAUUGAUAGAAGACCAGAAAGGCGACCACCUCGUGAACGAAGAUUCGAAAAGCCACUUGAAGAAAAGGGUGAAGGAGGCGAAUUUUCAGUUGAUAGACCGAUUAUUGACCGACCUAUUCGAGGUCGUGGUGGUCUUGGAAGAGGUCGAGGGGGCCGUGGACGUGGAAUGGGCCGAGGAGAUGGAUUUGAUUCUCGUGGCAAACGUGAAUUUGAUAGGCAUAGUGGAAGUGAUAGAUCUUCUUUUUCACAUUACAGUGGCCUGAAGCACGAGGACAAACGUGGAGGUAGCGGAUCUCACAACUGGGGAACUGUCAAAGACGAAUUAACAGAGUCCCCCAAAUACAUUCAGAAACAAAUAUCUUAUAAUUACAGUGACUUGGAUCAAUCAAAUGUGACUGAGGAAACACCUGAAGGUGAAGAACAUCAUCCAGUGGCAGACACUGAAAAUAAGGAGAAUGAAGUUGAAGAGGUAAAAGAGGAGGGUCCAAAAGAGAUGACUUUGGAUGAGUGGAAGGCUAUUCAAAAUAAGGAUCGGGCAAAAGUAGAAUUUAAUAUCCGAAAACCAAAUGAAGGUGCUGAUGGGCAGUGGAAGAAGGGAUUUGUUCUUCAUAAAUCAAAGAGUGAAGAGGCUCAUGCUGAAGAUUCGGUUAUGGACCAUCAUUUCCGGAAGCCAGCAAAUGAUAUAACGUCUCAGCUGGAGAUCAAUUUUGGAGACCUUGGCCGCCCAGGACGUGGCGGCAGGGGAGGACGAGGUGGACGUGGGCGUGGUGGGCGCCCAAACCGUGGCAGCAGGACCGACAAGGUAAUUUCUUUUCCUUUUACAUAGUUUAAGGACCUCUUAUAAGUCACUGGCUGGGUCAGACGUAGAAGUCACUUUUGGGAACAUAAGUAGAAGUAGUAGCAGUGUCUUUAAGAAACUGCAUGUUAGGUUAUAUUUUUGUUUAAAGCACUUAAAUGCCUUUUUGUGUAGUGCUGUUAGUAGUGUUAAGUUACCACCCUUUUGAGUUCUUUCUAGGUGCCGGUCAUGGUCCUGGGCUAGGCAUUUUAUGUACUUAAUGUCAUUUAAUUCUUGUUACUGUAAUGACAUUCUCAUUUUCCAGAUGAGAAAAUUCUGGUAUAGUGAAUCAGGUUAACUCUUGGCCUUUGCUAAGGCUUACCUGAAAACCAAUCUGUUCACUUUGAUAAUUCCUAACUGCUUUUUAGGUCUCCACUUAAUAACCAUUGUGUUCCUAGUAUAAUUCCUCUUAUGACACUCGUGAUUGUUGACACUUUUUUCUUUUACUAGACUCUUCUGUGAGAGCUGGUAUUCAUUUUUGGCUUACUUGCUAUAAUCUCUCCAAUGCCUUGAACAGUAUGUGGCACAAAACAAGUUCUUAGAGAAAUAUUUUGAUGAAUUCCCAAGUAAUUGAUAGAUAUGAACUCAGAUCUGAUGCUUGGAAACAACCAUAAUGUCCUCCUAAAUUCUCAACACCUUACACACAAAUUUGGGGACCCACCUGCUUGAUUGAGUCUGUUUUUGAUGAUUAUAAGGGUAACUUACCAUUGCCAGUGUAAUGAUACUUUGUUCCUCCCUCUAAGACCAACCUUUUUUUUUAAGGUGAUGGUUGUGUUGAUGGGCUUUUCCCAUACUUUCUUGUUUAGUUCUGUUAUUUAUACUUUAGGCUAUAAAGAGCAGUUUGGAUUCCUUUUUUCAGACUUUUAACCUUGAUGAUUAUUGCUACUUAAAUAUUAGUUUCUUAGCAUGCUUUCACAUUGGUGCCAUUCUUAUUUCGCAAGUGGAAAAAGUAUAAGAAUACUGAACAAUGCGAAUGCAAAUACAUAAUUGCUUGUGAAUCUACUUGUAUGGUUUAUUGGAAAAAGUAAAACAACUGGGCUGGGCGCACUGGCUCAUGCCUGUAAUCCCAGUACUUUGGGAGGUCUGGGUGAACAGAUCACCUGAGGCUGGUCUCAAACUCCUGACCUCAGGUGAUCCACCUGCCUUGGCCUCCCAAAGCGCUGGGAUUACAGGUGUGAGCCACCGUGCCUGGCCAACAGUAAGAUUUUUUUAGAGUUCUGUCUUAAUGUAGACACUAGCUAACAAAUGUAAUUUUGAAGAACUGAGAACUGUGGUUAAUUUUGGUUCUUCUUUUUCAGUCAAGUGCUUCUGCUCCUGAUGUGGAUGACCCAGAGGCAUUCCCAGCUCUGGCUUAACUGGAUGCCAUAAGACAACCCUGGUUCCUUUGUGAACCCUUCUGUUCAAAGCUUUUGCAUGCUUAAGGAUUCCAAACGACUAAGAAAUUAAAAAAAAAAAAAAGACUGUCAUUCAUACCAUUCACACCUAAAGACUGAAUUUUAUCUGUUUUAAAAAUGAACUUCUCUCGCUACACAGAAGUAACAAAUACGGUAGUCAGUUUUGUAUUUAGAAAUGUAUUGGUAGCAGGGAUGUUUUCAUAAUUUUCAGAGAUUAUGCAUUCUUCAUGAAUACUUUUGUAUUGCUGCUUGCAAAUAUGCAUUUCCAAACUUGAAAUAUAGGUGUGAACAGUGUGUACCAGUUUAAAGCUUUCACUUCAUUUGUGUUUUUUAAUUAAGGAUUUAGAAGUUCCCCCAAUUACAAACUGGUUUUAAAUAUUGGACAUACUGGUUUUAAUACCUGCUUUGCAUAUUCACACAUGGUCAACUGGGACAUGUUAAACUUUGAUUUGUCAAAUUUUAUGCUGUGUGGAAUACUAACUAUAUGUAUUUUAACUUAGUUUUAAUAUUUUCAUUUUUGGGGAAAAAUCUUUUUUCACUUCUCAUGAUAGCUGUUAUAUAUAUAUGCUAAAUCUUUAUAUACAGAAAUAUCAGUACUUGAACAAAUUCAAAGCACAUUUGGUUUAUUAACCCUUGCUCCUUGCAUGGCUCAUUAGGUUCAAAUUAUAACUGAUUUACAUUUUCAGCUAUAUUUACUUUUUAAAUGCUUGAGUUUCCCAUUUUAAAAUCUAAACUAGACAUCUUAAUUGGUGAAAGUUGUUUAAACUACUUAUUGUUGGUAGGCACAUCCUGUCAAGUGAAAUAGUUUUAUAGGUAUGGGUUUUUUCUCCCCCUCCACCAGGGUAGGUGGAAUAAGUUGAUUUGGCCAAUGUGUAAUAUUUAAACUGUUCUGUAAAAUAAGUGUCUGGCCAUUUGGUAUGAUUUCUGUGUGUGAAAGGUCCCAAAAUCAAAAUGGUACAUCCAUAAUCAGGAACCAUUUAACCCUUCCUUGUUCUAAAACAAAAACCAAAGGGCACUGGUUGGUAGGGUGAGGCGGGGGAGUAUUUUAAUUUUUGGAAUUUGGGAAGCAGACAGCUUUACUUUGUAAGGUUGGAACAGCAGCACUAUACAUGAAAUAUAAACCAAAAACCUUUACUGUUUCUGAAUUUCCUAGAUUGCUAUUAUUUGGUUGUAAGUUGAGUAUUCCACCGAAAGUGGUAAUUAUCUCUUCUCUCUUCCUCCAUUAGAAAAUUAGGUUAAUAAUGGAUUCCUAUAAUGGGAGCAUCACCACUUAUUAAAACACACAUAGAAUGAUGAAUAAAAAAAGUUUUCUAGGAUUGUCUUUUAUUCUGCCACAUUUAUUGAUAAACAGUGAAGGAAUUUUUUAAAAAAAUUUUAAGAAUUGUUUGUCAUGUCAUUUUUAGAAAUGUUCUACCUGUAUAUGGUAAUGUCCAGUUUUAAAAAUAUUGGACAUCUUCAAUCUUAAACAUUUCUAUUUAGCUAAUUGGUUCUCACAUACACUUCUAAAAGAGAAACUUUAUGUUAUAAGAGUUACUUUUUGGAUAAGAUUAAUUAAUCUCAGUUACCUACUAUUCUGACAUUUUAGGAAGGAGGUAAUUGUUUUUAAUGAUGGAUAAACUUGUGCUGGUGUUUUGGAUCUUAUGAUGCUGAGCAUGUUCUGCACUGGUGCUAAUGUCUAAUAUAAUUUUAUAUUUACACACAUACGUGCUACCCAGAGAUUAAUUUAGUCCGUAUGAACUAUUGACCUAUUGUUGAUUGAGACAGCAACAUACGCACUCCUAAAUCAGUGUGUUUAGACUUUUCAAGUAUCUAACUCAUUUCCAAACAUGUACCAUGUUUUAUAAACCUCUUGAUUUCCAGCAACAUACUAUAGAAAACACCUGCUACUCAAAACACAGCUUCUUCUCAGUGUCAUCCAUUGCUGUCGUGAGAGACAACAUAGCAAUAUCUGGUAUGUUGCAAGCUUUCAAGAUAGCCUGAACUUAAAAAGUUGGUGCAUUAGUUGUAUCUGAUGGAUAUAAAUUUGCCUCCUAGUUCACUUUGUGUCAAGAGCUAAAACUGUGAACCUAACUUUCUCUUAUUGGUGGGUAAUAACUGAAAAUAAAGAUUUAUUUUCAUGCUCA